CACAAACUUUUAAAAUAUGAAAUAUAGUUUUUAUAAAAAAAUUUUACCUACUUUGAGAUUUUGUAUAACUUGAAAAUAUUAUUUUCUAAUGAUUUUCGGACUGUAUCCUACAGCUGCCAUAUAACUGUACGCUCGAAAAUGAUGACCCCAUAACGAUGAAAUAAUGACCCCAUAAAAAGUUGGAAUUUCCUACAGAUUAUAUUUUUGGUCAAUAAAUUCGAUCUUCCAAACAUCAUCAGAAUUAGCCGACCAAUAUUAUAGCUGCUAUAUCGAAAA